rnacentral:rRNA from 1 species
GCCAGCCCGCUCAGAAACUUAAGGAAUUGACGGGGCCCGCACAAGCGGUGGAGCAUGUGGUUUAAUUCGAUGAUACGCGAGGAACCUUACCUGGGCUCAAAUGUAUGUUGACGUAUUCUGAAAGGGAUACUUCUUCGGACAAUAUACAAGGUGCUGCAUGGUUGUCGUCAGCUCGUGCCGUGAGGUGUCGGGUUAAGUCCCAUAACGAGCGCAACCCCUAUCAUUAGUUGCCAUCAGGUCAAGCUGGGGACUCUAAUGAAACUGCCUACGCAAGUAGUGAGGAAGGUGGGGAUGACGUCAAAUCAGCACGGCCCUUACGUCCAGGGCUACACACGUGCUACAAUGGCCGGUACAAAGGGCAGCUACCUGGUGACAGGAUGCUAAUCUCAAAAGCCGGUCUCAGUUCGGAUUGGAGUCUGCAACCCGACUCCAUGAAGUUGGAAUCGCUAGUAAUCGCGCAUCAGCAUGGCGCGGUGAAUACGUUCCCGGGCCUU